rnacentral:rRNA from 1 species
GCGAACCGGGGGAACUGAAACAUCUAAGUACCCCGAGGAAAAGAAAUCAACCGAGAUUCCCCCAGUAGCGGCGAGCGAACGGGGAGCAGCCCAGAGCCUGAAUCAGUGUGUGUGUUAGUGGAAGCGUCUGGAAAGGCGCGCGAUACAGGGUGACAGCCCCGUACACAAAAAUGCACAUGCUGUGAGCUCGAUGAGUAGGGCGGGACACGUGGUAUCCUGUCUGAAUAUGGGGGGACCAUCCUCCAAGGCUAAAUACUCCUGACUGACCGAUAGUGAACCAGUACCGUGAGGGAAAGGCGAAAAGAACCCCGGCGAGGGGAGUGAAAAAGAACCUGAAACCGUGUACGUACAAGCAGUGGGAGCACGCUUAGGCGUGUGACUGCGUACCUUUUGUAUAAUGGGUCAGCGACUUAUAUUCUGUAGCAAGGUUAACCGAAUAGGGGAGCCGAAGGGAAACCGAGUCUUAACUGGGCGUUAAGUUGCAGGGUAUAGACCCGAAACCCGGUGAUCUAGCCAUGGGCAGGUUGAAGGUUGGGUAACACUAACUGGAGGACCGAACCGACUAAUGUUGAAAAAUUAGCGGAUGACUUGUGGCUGGGGGUGAAAGGCCAAUCAAACCGGGAGAUAGCUGGUUCUCCCCGAAAGCUAUUUAGGUAGCGCCUCGUGAAUUCAUCUCCGGGGGUAGAGCACUGUUUCGGCAAGGGGGUCAUCCCGACUUACCAACCCGAUGCAAACUGCGAAUACCGGAGAAUGUUAUCACGGGAGACACACGGCGGGUGCUAACGUCCGUCGUGAAGAGGGAAACAACCCAGACCGCCAGCUAAGGUCCCAAAGUCAUGGUUAAGUGGGAAACGAUGUGGGAAGGCCCAGACAGCCAGGAUGUUGGCUUAGAAGCAGCCAUCAUUUAAAGAAAGCGUAAUAGCUCACUGGUCGAGUCGGCCUGCGCGGAAGAUGUAACGGGGCUAAACCAUGCACCGAAGCUGCGGCAGCGACGCUGAUGCGUUGUUGGGUAGGGGAGCGUUCUGUAAGCCUGCGAAGGUGUGCUGUGAGGCAUGCUGGAGGUAUCAGAAGUGCGAAUGCUGACAUAAGUAACGAUAAAGCGGGUGAAAAGCCCGCUCGCCGGAAGACCAAGGGUUCCUGUCCAACGUUAAUCGGGGCAGGGUGAGUCGACCCCUAAGGCGAGGCCGAAAGGCGUAGUCGAUGGGAAACAGGUUAAUAUUCCUGUACUUGGUGUUACUGCGAAGGGGGGACGGAGAAGGCUAUGUUGGCCGGGCGACGGUUGUCCCGGUUUAAGCGUGUAGGCUGGUUUUCCAGGCAAAUCCGGAAAAUCAAGGCUGAGGCGUGAUGACGAGGCACUACGGUGCUGAAGCAACAAAUGCCCUGCUUCCAGGAAAAGCCUCUAAGCAUCAGGUAACAUCAAAUCGUACCCCAAACCGACACAGGUGGUCAGGUAGAGAAUACCAAGGCGCUUGAGAGAACUCGGGUGAAGGAACUAGGCAAAAUGGUGCCGUAACUUCGGGAGAAGGCACGCUGAUAUGUAGGUGAAGUCCCUCGCGGAUGGAGCUGAAAUCAGUCGAAGAUACCAGCUGGCUGCAACUGUUUAUUAAAAACACAGCACUGUGCAAACACGAAAGUGGACGUAUACGGUGUGACGCCUGCCCGGUGCCGGAAGGUUAAUUGAUGGGGUUAGCCGCAAGGCGAAGCUCUUGAUCGAAGCCCCGGUAAACGGCGGCCGUAACUAUAACGGUCCUAAGGUAGCGAAAUUCCUUGUCGGGUAAGUUCCGACCUGCACGAAUGGCGUAAUGAUGGCCAGGCUGUCUCCACCCGAGACUCAGUGAAAUUGAACUCGCUGUGAAGAUGCAGUGUACCCGCGGCAAGACGGAAAGACCCCGUGAACCUUUACUAUAGCUUGACACUGAACAUUGAGCCUUGAUGUGUAGGAUAGGUGGGAGGCUUUGAAGUGUGGACGCCAGUCUGCAUGGAGCCGACCUUGAAAUACCACCCUUUAAUGUUUGAUGUUCUAACGUUGACCCGUAAUCCGGGUUGCGGACAGUGUCUGGUGGGUAGUUUGACUGGGGCGGUCUCCUCCUAAAGAGUAACGGAGGAGCACGAAGGUUGGCUAAUCCUGGUCGGACAUCAGGAGGUUAGUGCAAUGGCAUAAGCCAGCUUGACUGCGAGCGUGACGGCGCGAGCAGGUGCGAAAGCAGGUCAUAGUGAUCCGGUGGUUCUGAAUGGAAGGGCCAUCGCUCAACGGAUAAAAGGUACUCCGGGGAUAACAGGCUGAUACCGCCCAAGAGUUCAUAUCGACGGCGGUGUUUGGCACCUCGAUGUCGGCUCAUCACAUCCUGGGGCUGAAGUAGGUCCCAAGGGUAUGGCUGUUCGCCAUUUAAAGUGGUACGCGAGCUGGGUUUAGAACGUCGUGAGACAGUUCGGUCCCUAUCUGCCGUGGGCGCUGGAGAACUGAGGGGGGCUGCUCCUAGUACGAGAGGACCGGAGUGGACGCAUCACUGGUGUUCGGGUUGUCAUGCCAAUGGCACUGCCCGGUAGCUAAAUGCGGAAGAGAUAAGUGCUGAAAGCAUCUAAGCACGAAACUUGCCCCGAGAUGAGUUCUCCCUGACUCCUUGAGAGUCCUGAAGGAACGUUGAAGACGACGACGUUGAUAGGCCGGGUGUGUAAGCGCAGCGAUGCGUUGAGCUAACCGGUACUAAUGAACCGUGAGGCUUAACCUUACAACGCCGAAGGUGUUU